GCAGCCUAAACAUAGACCUGAAGUACUAUGGACACAUCAAGGAAUCAACAACAUGUACAGUUUUUAGAAGAGACUCACAAAUCUUCACAAUAUUACGACUAUCACUCAGAGUUAGGGUAUUUUAUUCAUAUCAGUCGAUAUCGAUUUUUUAUAUCACGAUAUAAAAAAUGAAAUUUAACAGUGUUUAUUGGUAGCACAUCUUUUGCAAUAGAAUGAGCUACAGCAUCUGUGAGGUCUUUGUGACUCUGUGGCAUUUUGUCAUAAGGCGUUGCUCUAGAGAAAGUGGACUGAAUGGUCGACUGUUUCGGCUGCACAGGCACCAUGGGCUCCUCAAAAAGAUUUGAGGUAUUCCCCAACUUUGUGAGAACAUGUACUCGACAUAAUUUACAGUCCACAUUACUCUGCUACUCUGCAAAAUACCUCCACACCACCGACGUUUUCCUAACGCCAGUGUUGUCGUUGACAUUGAUGUGGUCAUCUGGUGAUCCUUCAUGGUCAUUUCUGUCGGGGGUAGCACUCAUUUUCUUUGUUUCUCACCAACAGUGCUGUCGGCUUCACCUGUUAAAGUGCUAUGGUUGGGUGUAGCUGCUGUCUGAUGUGACGCAGUUGUAGUUUUCCUUUACUGACAGUGUAGGUAUUGUGUGUUCUGAAGCCUGGAGUUGUUGUGGUUGGCUUGUGGAGGACUGGCUUUAUAUCCUUCUAUCACAUUUCUUUACCACAGACCGUUACAUAACUCGUCCAAACGUUUCCCUCUCUCUCCAAUCUUGGAGCAGUUGUUUGUGCAGCAGCUGGACGGCUUAUGCUCCAACACUUUCCCAAUAAAAGUACACAGAUAUAGGGAACCGUGCACCUCUCAGUGUGUGAAGGCCUUUUUGUCAAGUGCUCUCUUUCUCUUUUACACAGUUUGACAGCAGACCUUACAUUUCCCCCACUUAUGUUCAUGAGCCUGGCAGCAGCAGGUAGAUACCAGGAGAGGCAUUAUCAUCUGACAUAGUUCACUGCUUUGUCGGAGGCAUCCUGAAGUCACACUGAGAGCAGUUGGCGGCAGAAAUGGUUUGUGAGGCAGGGAGGUUUCAUUUCAGCUUUGUAUGGGCACAAUCAGCAAGUCUGCAGUCAUAUAUAAUAUAGAGAGAUAUUUGGGGCGGCUGCAGGUCUGUGGGUGUCAGAGUUGGGGGUGAAGUCUCGGGUAUGAAACCUGGAAAAGCAGCUCGCAGGUUUGGAUGCAUGUGAAUGGGAAGAGUUAGCAACAGUAAACACUUUAUAUGUAAUAUGUUAUUUAGAUGAUGGGGGGCAGUGUAAGCUCUGACUUAGGGCUGGGCGAUAUGGGAAAAAGUUUAUCACUAUAUAUUGUUUUCAUAUCAGCUGAUAUCGAUCAAUAUCAGGAUAUAAAAAUGAAAUGUAGAAGUGUUUAUUGGUCUCAUUUCUUUUCCAACACAAUAAUCUCCUGCAUCUGUGAGGUCUUUGUGUCUCUUUGGCGUUUUGUCGUAAGGCGUCGCUCUAGAGAAAGCCGACUGAAUGGUCGUCUGUUUCAGGCGCCAUGGGCUCCUCGCUCCUCUCGGGGUUUGUAACCUUCUGCGUUGCGCGUGCUCUGCGGCGUGGCGCUGCUUCAGGUGGUGAAAAAGAUUUGAGGUAUUCCCCGACUUUGUGAGAACAUAUACUCGACAUAAUUUACAGUCCACAUUACUCUGCUUCAUGUCCGACCUCCAAAAACCAAAAUACCUCCACACCACCGACGUUUUCCUAACGCCGGUGUUGUGGUUGACAUUGAUGUGGUCAUCUGUUGAGCCUUCAUGGUCAUUUCUGUCGGGGGUAGCACUCAUUUUCUUUGUUUCUCACCAACAGUGCUGUCGGCUUCACCUGUUAAAGUGCUAUGGUUGGAUGGAGCUGCUGUCUGCUGUGAUGCAGUUGUUUGAUACUUGGUUCUAAUUCAGAACAUGAUUGGUUCAGACCCGGAGAAACUCCCCUUUUCAUUGUUUAUUUGUAUAGUCUACCAAAACAUGUCAGAAUGCUCACUAUCAAAAGCAUGUUGACUAUAUUUUAUAUUGAUAUUGAGGGAAAUCAGUUAGUGAUAUGUAUUGCUGUCGUUUUAUCGUCCAGCCCUACUCUGAUGGUAAGAGUGCGACCUUAGCUCAGUCUAUUCCACAGAAAGUUGGAACCCUCAGAACUAUGUGAAUAUAAAACUGAACUUUCCUUAUCAGUCAAACCAGAUUAAUGUUGAAACAGCCUGAAAACAUCCGUUUAUGAACUCAGUUUAUCAACGUUUCCACAAGUGCAGAUCCAGACUGAGUCACGCAGUCAUUUAUUCAUGAGAGUUUGAGCUCAUGUGGUGACUUCUACUACAGAGUUAAUGUCCGCUUUGAGUGCAGUGCUGCCUGAAGGCCCAAAAAACAACUUUAUCUCUAUCUCAUGUAUGUAAAUAUCUGAAUCGGACUUGGGGGAGAGUAAACAUGAGUAAAGUUUGGUAGUAAAAGUGACCAGCGCUCCUAACAAAGGCAGUAGUUUCCUGUGUGAUAGAAAGCCUUCAGGUGGAAUGAGAUGGUGACGGGGGUUCGAGCUGCAGCCUUGGGAUUCCUGCACAGCUGAGCCUCCUCACUUCUAUUUUAAACCAUGUUUUCAGGGUGAACGUGUAUCUGCUGACAAAUGUGCAUUGUUGGUGAUUGUGACUUUUAAGAUGACCUAUUUAGAGAACGCUGUUUCAUCAGUAUUCCAGAUGGUGCAAACCAACAACAUCAAAAGCAGCCUCGUGUUGCAUGUCGGCUCUCAGUAGUUUUCUCUUUAUACGGUGUGAUUAUUAAAAAAUGAGAGGUACGUGGUAGACUGGUUCAUGUGAUGGAUUUAACAUCUGUAAACGAAGAAAAAAACAUGCAUGUCCUCGGGUUAAUGAUGGGGGGGUACGCUGUAACC